rnacentral:rRNA from 1 species
UACGAAGGGGGCUAGCGUUGCUCGGAAUCACUGGGCGUAAAGCGCACGUAGGCGGCUUACUAAGUCAGGGGUGAAAUCCUGGAGCUCAACUCCAGAACUGCCUUUGAUACUGGGAGCUCGAGUCGGGAGAGGUGAGUGGAACUGCGAGUGUAGAGGUGAAAUUCGUAGAUAUUCGCAAGAACACCAGUGGCGAAGGCGGCUCACUGGCCCGAUACUACGCUGAGGUGCGAAAGCGUGGGGAGCAAACGGAUUAGAAACCCC